AACGAACGCUGGCGGCGUGCCUAACACAUGCAAGUCGUGCGAGAAAGUUCCUUCGGGAGCGAGUAAAGCGGCGCACGGGUGAGUAACACGUAGGUAACCUGCCCCCCAGUCUGGAACAACUAGAGGAAACUCUAGCUAAUGCCGGAUGAGACCACGAUCCCUUCGGGAUUGCGGCCAAAGAUGGCCUCUACUUGUAAGCUAUCGCUGAGGGAUGGGCCUGCGGGCCAUUAGCUUGUUGGUGAGGUAACGGCUCACCGAGGCUGUGAUGGCUAGCUGGUCUGAGAGGAUGACCAGCCACACUGGGACUGAGACACGGCCCAGACUCCUACGGGAGGCAGCAGUGGGGAAUAUUGCGCAAUGGGCGAAAGCCUGACGCAGCGACGCCGCGUGGGUGAUGAAGGCCUCGGUCGUAAG
rnacentral:rRNA from 1 species